rnacentral:rRNA from 1 species
GUCUAUAUUCACAACUCUGAAGGCUCCCAUCUUCUCUGAUCUCAGAAGUUAAGCAGGGUCAGGUCUGGUUAGUACUUGGAUGGGAGACCUUCGGGGAAUACUGGGUGCUGCAGGUU